AAAAUAUUUGCUAACCUAUUCUUCAUAAAGCCAGGUAUGUUUCUGUGAAAUGGAGAGGCAAUGUUGACAUUUGUCCUCCUGCCAGCAGCAGCAAUCAGGUUGCCUUGUUAUCUCAGCUAACCCUCCCCCAUGCUGAUGUACUAAAUAAGGGACUGUCGAAGCUCUGUCCCAAGGCAUUUCAGCUCCAUGGUCACAGCUCUGAGUAUCUGUGCAAAAGGCAGGAGCAGCUUGGUCCCAUCCCUCCAGUGGGACCUUAGUGCAGAGAGAAAUCGGUGACAGAAAGCUCUCGAAUACCUGAAGUUUGACCCAUAUUUCUGAAGGAGCUUCUACAGAGUCUGUCAACUCCGUGGCCAUCUUCAGGAUUCUUCUGGCUGUGAAGACUGAUCCGUGCCUCUCUGGGUAUAUCCCCGUUCCUAGCCUACCAUUUGCAUAUCCAGAGAGACAUAGACCUCCAGCAUAAGUAUGAGUCUAAAAAUGUGGGCCUGGGACACCUGGUGCUUGGAAGAUGAAGUAUGGACAGAUAUAACUAUGCUUGGGGCAUUUUGUUUCACUUUUCCUUCAUAAGAGGGCAUCUAGCUGCAGCAGCACAGAGGGAAUGAGCUGUUAUUGCAAUAGAAGACAUCAUUGUGUGGCCUACCUUGACUUUUUGGUCUGCUACUAUGUGUUUGAAAGGAUAUGUGCCCUGCCUCAGAAAAACUACUUCAUCUAUCAGAAACAGCAAAGAUGCUGCAGUACUCUGCCAGGUGAGCUGGCACUGGGGACACUAAUCUCAUAGGCUAAGGAGAUCACUAGUCUCAUCUAGAUCGUUAGGUCACUAAUCUCAUCUCUCUUUCUCCUGAUUUUCAUUUGGAGUCGCAGAGCAGGAUUCAGGUAAAGCAUUAACUUAUCUGCCCAGCAGGGCAGAAGAAAAGGAACACUAGCAGGUAGAACAGCUAAGGAAGCUGUCUCCCGAAAUUCACUGGGGGCAUGUAGUAACAUGUAAUCUCCUCUUGCCUAAUAUGUUUGUGCUGGAGGAAGUCUUGUCUGGCCCUCUGUGUUUAAUCACAACUGUCACUUUGAAUAAGUGGUGCCAAAAUUAUUUUUCUUUAAUGUAACUGUUUCAGGGUGGGGUUUUCCAAUUAUGGACUUCACUCUGUUCCCAUUCAACUCUAUGGGAGUUCUAUCAGUGACUUCAGUGGCAGCAGAAUUAAACAACACAGGGUGCUUUGGAAAACUGGGCCCUCAUUUAUUAAAUUACCGUAGCAAGUUUCUCGAUGAAAUCAUCUGGAGCUCCCAGAGAUGCCAGUCCAAUUUCCUGUAACAAUAAACCAUUAUUCUUCAAGCCAUUUAUUGCAAACAUUCUUCCUGUCUUGUCUUAUGUAAUUUCUCACAUUUUAAAUGUUACCAUCACUUAUUACCACACACAAAUGUUUACAGGACAUAUUCCUAUCGUGCAACAUCAAUUUUAAACCAGAACUCUCUCCAGAAAUGAACAAAAGGGUCCUGUCUAAAUGUCAUUUACAAGGCAUAGUUCUUUGUGCUUGGUACAAAAGCCAUUGAAGUCAAAUAAAAUUCUCCUUUUGCUUUGACAGACUUUUGAUCAAGCCCACAAUGCACACCCAAGAGAAUGAUACAGUCAAAAGAAGAUAAAUCAAUCACAUCCAUACUGCUUAAAUAUUUAUUUUUGCUUUGAUGGGUCCGGAUUGCAGGAGGUUUCUUGCAGCCUUGAAAGACAUGUUUGUUUAUUUGUGUUUUUUUCCUGAAUGACAGGGCAUGAUUUGAAAGAGCUCAUUCAUACCUUGGGAGGUAAUAGAAACUUUCCCAGGAGGCAUGCUAUAGCUGGAUUCAGAAGCUACAUGAGACUGUAUAUAACCAGGUACCUUUCUCACUUUGCUCCAGUGAGGACUGCACAAUGUAAAAUCAGAGCCCCCGCCCCCAGUACCCUUUCCCAAACCAAAAGCAUUAGUGCAGCUAUUGUCAAAUAUGUCAAAUCCCAAUAAGCCGAAGUGCAGUAGGGGCUAUUUUGAAGGAAUCCCUGGUCCUGGGGAAAUGCAGAGCCUGCAGUCAAUACUGAGUGCUAAUAGCUACAGCAGGUUAAUUUCUGUCUUGUGAGCAGGUUGUUACAUAAAGGCUAUGUCCCUUUCUUUCCCUUCUUCCGUACUUCCAUCUUUCUGUCCUUGACCUCCCAUCCUUCUAUCCUCAAUCCUUCUUUCUGUCUUUAUUUCUGUCUCUCUUUGUCUUUCUCUUCCUUCUUUUCUUCCUUCCUUCCUUCCUUCCUUCCUGUCUGUCUGUCUGUUUUUUCUUGUUUUUCUGGUAAGAUGCAGCCUAAAUUUACUCCUUCCCUGAGGUUUGGCUUCUUUUCCAGAGACAUUAACACUAGCAAAGAGAAAGCUCUUCUCCAGCCGUCUCACACAUUUGCAGAUGGGACAGUUCCUCACUUGACAUCCUCUGUGAUAGACUUCUCUGUGACUUCAACAGAAAAAUAAGUAAAUAAAUAAAUAAAAAUUCUUCACUUUCCCGAACGUUUGGGCUACAAGAUGGAGCAAUAACUCAUUUGAAUCACGAGCCAUUUAACUUUCCCCAGAAGGAUCAACAUCUACAGAGAAGGUUUUAGAUGAAUUCUUUACAAAGGAUUUGCCUGUAAAAAACAACCCACACAAGAUAAACGUUUGGCGUAUGGGUACAGAAGUUCACACAUGUGAUUUGUGUCUAGAUUUCAAGCAGUAAAUAAAUCCUGAUUCACAGUCUUCAUGACAUCAGCUGUUGUCAGAAAUGCAGCAAUGCUCUCCCCUAUGUUCCAGUUUGUUUCUUUACUACUCUUAGGAAGCUACCAACUGCAAACAUACAUCAUUUCAAUGGAAUAGAAACAUUAAGGUUGGAAAAGACUUCCAAGAUCAUCUGGUCCAACCAUCCUCCUACAACCAAUGUCACCCACUAAAUCAUGUCCCUAACCACCAAGUCCAACCUUUCCUUGAACACCCCCAGGGACAGU